rnacentral:rRNA from 1 species
CUGGCGGCGUGCCUAACACAUGCAAGUCGAACGGAGUCAGAAAGCUUGCUUUUGACUAGUGGCGGACGGGUGAGUAACGCGUGAGUAACCUGCCUCUGAGAGGGGAAUAACGUUCUGAAAAGAACGCUAAUACCGCAUAAUGUAUCGAAGCCGCAUGACUUUGAUACCAAAGAUUUUAUUGCUCGGAGAUGGACUCGCGUCCGAUUAGUUAGUUGGUGAGGUAACGGCUCACCAAGACCGCGAUCGGUAGCCGGACUGAGAGGUUGAUCGGCCACAUUGGGACUGAGACACGGCCCAGACUCCUACGGGAGGCAGCAGUGGGGGAUAUUGCGCAAUGGGGGCAACCCUGAACCGCAGCAACGCCGCGUGAAGGAUGAAGGUUUUCGGAUUGUAAACUUCUUUUAUCAGGGACGAAGCUUGACGGUACCUGAUGAAUAAGCUCCGGCUAACUACGUGCCAGCCGCCGC